rnacentral:rRNA from 1 species
UACGUAGGGGGCAAGCGUUGUCCGGAUUUAUUGGGCGUAAAGCGCGUGUAGGCGGCCACACAGGUCCGCUGUGAAAACUCGAGGCUCAACCUCGAGCUGUCGGUGGAAACCGUGUGGCUAGAGUCCGGAAGAGGAGACUGGAAUUCCUGGUGUAGCGGUGAAAAUGCGCAGAUAUCAGGAGGAACACCAAUUGCGAAGGCAGCUCGCUGGGACGUUACUGACGCUGAGACGCGAAAGCGUGGGGAGCAAACAGG